CCUACGGGUGGCAGCAGUGGGGGAUAUUGCACAAUGGGGGAAACCCUGAUGCAGCGACGCCGCGUGUGGGAAGACGGUCCUCUGGAUUGUAAACCACUGUCCCCAGGGACGAAGAUGACGGGACCUGGGGAGGAAGCGCCGGCUAACUACGUGCCAGCAGCCGCGGUAAUACGGAGGGAGCGAGCGUGGUCCGGAAGUACGGGGGGGAAAGGGAGCGGAGGCGGGGAUGCAAGUGGGGUGUCAAAACUACCGGCUCAACUGGGAGUCGCACUCAAAACUGCCGCUCUUUAGUGAAGUAGAGGCAGGCGGCAUUCCUCGUGUAGCGGUGAACUGCGUCGAUAUUAGGAGGAACCCCAGUUGCGACGGCGGCCUGCUGGGCUUUUCCUGCCGCUGAGGCUC
rnacentral:rRNA from 1 species